rnacentral:rRNA from 1 species
GACGAACGCUGGCGGCGUGCCUAACACAUGCAAGUCGAACGAUGAAGAAAAGAGUUGAAGCUCCGGCAGAAAUUCAUUGCGGAAUAGUGGCAGAAGGGAGAGUAACGCGUGAGCAACCUACCUCUUACAAAGGGAUAGCCACGGGAAAACGGGAUUAAUCCCAUAUAACAUUGCGAGGAAGCAUUUCGAUGCACGCAAAGGUAUGGCGGUAAGAGAUGGGAUCGCGUCCGAUUAGCUAGUUGGCGAGGUAACGGCGCCCCAUAGCGACGAUGCGUAACUGGUCUGAGAGGAUGAUCAGCCACACUGGAACUGAGACACGGUCCAGACUCCUACGGGAGGCAGCAGUGGGGAAUAUUGGACAAUGGGCGCAAGCCUGAUCCAGCCAUACCGCGUGGGUGAAGAAGGCCUUCGGGUUGUAAAGCCCUUUUGUUGGGAAAGAAAAGCAGCAGGUUAAUACCCCGCUGUUCUGACGGUACCCAAAGAAUAAGCACCGGCUAACUUCGUG